rnacentral:rRNA from 1 species
UAACUGAAGAGUUUGAUCAUGGCUUAGAUUGAACGCUGGCGGCAGGCUUAACACAUGCAAGUCGAGCGGGGGAAGGUAGCUUGCUAC